rnacentral:rRNA from 1 species
AUUAAACGCUGGCGGCGUGCCUUACACAUGCAAGUCGAACGGCAGCACGGGGGCAACCCUGGUGGCGAGUGGCGGACGGGUGAGUAAAGCAUCGGAACGUAUCCUGGAGUGGGGGAUAACGUAGCGAAAGUUACGCUAAUACCGCAUAUUCUGUGAGCAGGAAAGCAGGGGAUCGCAAGACCUUGCGCUCUGGGAGCGGCCGAUGUCGGAUUAGCUAGUUGGUGGGGUAAAGGCCUACCAAGGCGACGAUCCGUAGCGGGUCUGAGAGGAUGAUCCGCCACACUGGGACUGAGACACGGCCCAGACUCCUACGGGAGGCAGCAGUGGGGAAUUUUGGACAAUGGGCGCAAGCCUGAUCCAGCCAUGCCGCGUGAGUGAAGAAGGCCUUCGGUUGGUUAAAGGACGU